rnacentral:lncRNA from 1 species
UAUCUUUAAAAAUCCUUUAUUUAUAAUUAUAUAACACGUUUAAUACAUUUAAUCUAUUUACACUGUACAAAGUAUUUAAUGUUCAAAAACUCAGAUUGCAGCUUAAUUUAUAAAGGUGCUUUGUAUUAUUAAAAACUAUUCUAACUUAGAGAUGGUCUCUAAGCUUCUCCCAGGUUGGCUGGAUGGCCAUGUUAACAGAGCACUGCCCUGAGACUCAACCUACCCAACAGGUUGGGCAGGGUAGGGCAGGGCAGGGGCAGAGCUGGAACAUGGACUUACCCACAGUUAAUUAAAGGCAUGUCUAUACCUUCUCUAGCUCACUAUAACUUAGAUCCCAGACAUUACAGGCAUAAUGCAUUAAUGCUUCACACUAACAAGUCAGGUUAGCACUUCAGCUCAAGAACAAGGGCAUUAUCACUUCCUGCAGGCUAAUGGCCAGAAGGAAAAAUAAACAAAGAGCCCUCCCAAAACAAACAAGUGUUGGGACUUCCUUCUGAGCCAGGUAUGAAUGUUUAGAACUUAUUGACCUAUUUAACAAGCCUCUUCUACAAUCUUUAGAUAAUGACAAAGAACAGAAAAUAAGACCCUUCCUUCCUUCUUGAAGGUAGGUGUGUGUGUGUGUGUGUGUGUGUGUGUGUGUGUGUGUAACCCAGGUGGAAAUUGGUGGUAAAGCACAGGCUUAGCAUACACAAGGUACCAUUUAAAACAAAUGGACAACAAAACCCAAGCCUGCUAAUUGAACAGUGCUGCGAAGAAUUACUAAUAGGUAGUUGAUGAUUUGACAGAUAACAAAUCUCUUUCUGAUGUGGCCAGCAGGACAGAAACUAAAUUUAUAGUUCUGAAUCAAGGUACUGAGGUGACCAGAUAUUGAUGAGCUGACUUAUGGGCAAGGGUGGAAUAAACAGAAGACAUGUUCCCAGCAUCUGUAAGAACCGAGGUUUCUAUUCUUAAGUAGUAUGUGCUCCCUGACAGUAUCUUUUGGGUUAAGAAAUAUAUUUGCUCCAAUAAGCAACUAUUAGGUCCCUGGUUUUAGGACAUAAUCCAUAGUGCCACCAAAAUAAAAAACAAACCAAAAAAUUCUCCAAGCAGUUUCUUCUUCAAGUUUUAGUCUUNA